GAUGAACGCUAGCGGCAGGCCUAAUACAUGCAAGACGAACGGUAAGUUGAGUAGCAAUACUUAGCCAAGAGUGUCGUACGGGUGCGUAACACGUAUGCAACCUACCCUAUACAGGAGGAUAGCCUAGGGAAACCUGGAUUAACCCUUCAUAGUAUUAUUGGAUGGCAUCAUUUGAUAAUUAAAACUGAGGUGGUAUAGGAUGGGCAUGCGUCUGAUUAGUUAGUUGGCGGGGUAAUGGCCCACCAAGACGAUGAUCAGUAGGGGUUCUGAGAGGAAGAUCCCCCACACUGGCACUGAGAUACGGGCCAGACUCCUACGGGAGGCAGCGGUAGGGAAUAUUGGUCAAUGGAUGCAAGUCUGAACCAGCAAUGCCGCGUGAGUGAAGAAGGCCUUGGGUUGGUAAAGCGUCUUUUGUCUAGGGAAGGAAACGGUAGAGUU
rnacentral:rRNA from 1 species